UAGGGAAUCUUCCACAAUGGACGAAAGUCUGAUGGAGCAACGCCGCGUGAGUGAAGAAGGUUUUCGGAUCGUAAAGCUCUGUUGUUGGUGAAGAAGGAUAGAGGCAGUAACUGGUCUUUAUUUGACGGUAAUCAACCAGAAAGUCACGGCUAACUACGUGCCAGCAGCCGCGGUAAUACGUAGGUGGCAAGCGUUGUCCGGAUUUAUUGGGCGUAAAGCGAGCGCAGGCGGAAUGAUAAGUCUGAUGUGAAAGCCCACGGCUCAACCGUGGAACUGCAUCGGAAACUGUCAUUCUUGAGUGCAGAAGAGGAGAGUGGAACUCCAUGUGUAGCGGUGGAAUGCGUAGAUAUAUGGAAGAACACCAGUGGCGAAGGCGGCUCUCUGGUCUGCAACUGACGCUGAGGCUCGAAAGCAUGGGUAGCGAACAGGAUUAGAUACCCUGGUAGUCCAUGCCGUAAACGAUGAGCGCUAGGUGUUGGGGACUUUCCGGUCCUCAGUGCCGCAGCAAAU
rnacentral:rRNA from 1 species